CCCACUCUAUGUGGGGUUCGCCAGGGCGACCCGUUCUUUCCGUUUCUGUUCAACAUGGUAGUCGAUGCCCUUACGACCAUCCUUGACAAGGCCAAAACUUGUGGCCAUAUCCGUGGCGUUGUCCCUCACCUGGUGGAAGGGGGAGGGGUCUCCCUCCUCCAAUAUGCAGAUGAUACCAUCAUAAUGGUGGAGGGAUCCACGCCCGACAUUGCCAACCUGAAGUUCCUCCUCCUGUGCUUCCAACAGAUGUCUGGGCUCACCAUCAAUUUCGAUAAGAGCGAAGUGAUGGUCCUUGGCUAUCCUCCGGAGGAGGCUCAGUCCAUUGCUGACCGGCUGAACUGCCGCCUAGGUUCCUUCCCCACGACCUACUUGGGGAUACCCAUUAGUGACUCCCGGCUCACCAUCACUGACCUUCGUCCGACUGUGACUAGGAUGCAGCACCGGGUCGAGCCCUGGAGGGGGAGGUGGCUGUCGAAAGUGGCCAGAGUAAUCCUCAUCAACUCCUCACUUGCCAGUCUACUCCGGUUUCUCAUGAGCUUCUAUGGCCUUCAUGAGACCCUCCAUCAGGAGGCCGCCAAAUACUAG
rnacentral:rRNA from 1 species